rnacentral:tRNA from 1 species
UAUGUUUAAGUGUAAGAUGCACAAAAAUUUUUGAUAUUUUAGGAGCAGUUUAAUUCUGUAAAACAUAA